rnacentral:lncRNA from 1 species
UUUUUUUUUAUACAUAUAAAAUCUGUAUUGCUUUAUUAUUUGCCUGAGUUAUAUCCAAUAAGAAUGAAGUAAAAAAGAGGAAUACACUUUAGUUUUGGCUUAAGAUAACUCACUAGCUGCGGUUCUAGUUUUGCUUUGUCACAUUACACUGUUGAAAGCCCUCCUAGUAAGUUUUUGUUUAUUUUGGCAUUGCCAUGAUUUCAUUGUUGAUGUGCCCACACUAUGAACAAUUAUGACAUACCAUGUGCUAUGACUGACAGAAUAUACAUGUCAACAUCGCUUUACCAAGAAAGAGUGCUCAGCUAAAGCAGGGGGACAAAAACCAGACAGUUCUAUCGCUUGUCCAAAUCAUUCUGUUCUCAAAUUACUGGCAGGCAAAGACAUAUCCAUUGGUGCCAAAUUAUAUUACAGCCAUCAGCAAUAAACCAAAUGCGAGGACAAUGCCACAAUAUGUGGAGUUACAGUGACUGAAAUCAGUUGACAAUGAAACAUGAAAACGAGAGGCUGCAAAAUAGAGUGUGAUAGUAGAAAUUCAGCCUCAUUGGGCUGGUUGUGCUGAAAGGAAAAAGAUGAAGAGCAAUGCCUGUAUGACCGGGUGGGAAGCCUGAGUCCUGCAGUGUUAAAGCCCUGCAGGGUUAAAGGCUACCCAAAGCCACAGGGACAUGGGUGAAUGUCUCAGCACAGCCACAGCAGGCAGACACCUAGCAUAAAUGCAAGGCAGAUCCAAUACAAUGAUGGUGCUUAUUUCACCAAAUAAACUCUUGUAGACAUCGAAAGGCAGCCAGGGUUGUCAUGUUUUCAGGAACACAACCAAAAGCCCGAUUCACAAGUGAUACAGGCAGGAACAUACAGGAUAUCUUGGCCAACUUCAGUGAAUGCAACUUCCCCUAUGAGGCACAGGGCAGGCAGAUGAAUGAGCAGGAAAAACAACAGGGGAUGAGUUUAGGAAUAAAACUCUUCACAGGUUUCUACUACUAGGAUUCACCCUCCCUUGUCUUCAGGCCCUUUAUUGAUUCCUAAUAUGUUAAUACCAAAGAGCGUUGGACUCUAAAAUAUGCAUCUAUCCCCUUUAAAUAGCUAACCCAUUUUAAUAAGCACAUUCUAUACUCUGCAUACUCACAGCAGCAAAUACUAUGAGAAAAAAUAAAAGCUCUUGUGUACAGAAAACAGCAGUGAACUUACUUACACUUUACGGAUAGUUUUUCAUUUUGGAAAACAAAGAACCCAAAUAAUCCUCUCACCAUGGUUCAGAAAGGGUAACACCAAGCCUGCUGCAGUUUAAGCACCACGUAAGAUUUUGCUUUGUUGAGAAACAGCAUCGAUGAUAAAAGAUUCUGCUCUAGGAUAAUCAAUCAAGAAUGGGCUCUGCAUACUGACAGGCUGCUAAGUUCCUAAGACCACACAUAUACUAAAGGUAUUUAGACUGUAUUUUCUCUUUGACUAAGCAGUAAUUCUGGCUGUGACAAGGAAAAAAACAAAAAAAAAAG